rnacentral:tRNA from 1 species
GUCGUGGUAGCCAAGCAUGGCCCAAGGCGCUGGGUUGCUAACUCAGUGGCGUACAGCCUCCAGGGUUCAAAUCCCUGCCACGACG